rnacentral:rRNA from 1 species
CAAUAGCGUAUAUUAAAGCUGUUGCGGUUAAAAAGCUCGUAGUUGGAUUUCUGUCAAGGACAACUGGUCCGCCCUCCGGGUGAGCACAUAGUUUGGUCUUGGCAUCUUGCUGGAAACUGUUGCUGCGCUUGGUUGUGUGGUGCAGCUUUCAGCACUUUCACUUUGAGGAAAUUGGAGUGUUUCAAGCAGGCACAUGCCUUUGGACACAGUAGCAUGGAAUAAUUAGAUUGGGCUUUUGCUCCAACUUGUUGGUUCCUGGAGCUGAGGUGAGAAUCAAUGGGGAUUGUUGGGGGCAUCCGAAUUUGGCCGUCAGAGGUGAAAUUCUUGGAUCUGCUAAAGACGGACAACUGCGAAAGCGUUUGCCCAGGAUGUUUUCAUUGA